UGGGGAAUAUUGGACAAUGGGCGAAAGCCUGAUCCAGCCAUGCCGCGUGUGUGAAGAAGGCCUUUUGGUUGUAAAGCACUUUAAGCGAGGAGGAGGCUACCGAGAUUAAUACUCUUGGAUAGUGGACGUUACUCGCAGAAUAAGCACCGGCUAACUCUGUGCCAGCAGCCGCGGUAAUACAGAGGGUGCGAGCGUUAAUCGGAUUUACUGGGCGUAAAGCGUGCGUAGGCGGCUUUUUAAGUCGGAUGUGAAAUCCCUGAGCUUAACUUAGGAAUUGCAUUCGAUACUGGGAAGCUAGAGUAUGGGAGAGGAUGGUAGAAUUCCAGGUGUAGCGGUGAAAUGCGUAGAGAUCUUGGAAGAAUACCGAUGGCGAAGGCAGCCAUCUGGCCUAAUACUGACGCUGAGGUACGAAAGCAUGGGGAGCAAACA
rnacentral:rRNA from 1 species